rnacentral:rRNA from 1 species
UACGUAGGGGGCUAGCGUUGUCCGGAAUCAUUGGGCGUAAGCGCGCGUAGGCGGCCUGGUAAGUCCGCUGUGAAAGUCAAAGGCUCAACCUUUGAAUGUCAGCGGAUACUGCCAGGCUAGAGUCCGGAAGAGGCGAGUGGAAUUCCUGGUGUAGCGGUGGAAUGCGCAGAUAUCAGGAGGAACACCAACGGCGAAGGCAGCUCGCUGGGCCAGUUCUGACGCUGAGGAGCGAAAGCGUGGGGAGCGAACAGG